rnacentral:rRNA from 1 species
UACAGGGGGUGCAAACGUUGCUCGGAAUCAUUGGGCGUAAAGCGCACGUAGGCGGUUCGUUAUGUCGGAUGUGAAAUCCCUCGGCUUAACCGAGGAACUGCCCUCCAAACUGCUUUGCUUGAGGCCGGGAGAGGCGAGUGGAAUUCCCAGUGUAGCGGUGAAAUGCGUAGAUAUUGGGAGGAAUACCAGUGGCGAAGGCGGCUCGCUGGACCGGUUCUGACGCUGAGGCGCGAAAGCGUGGGGAGCAAACGGG